GCCAGCCAGCCCUUGCUCUUUUCAGACCCGCUCAGCCAGGGUCUGCAAGGCCAUCUCAGCUAGCUUGGGUACAUCAAGGCCCCCAACCAACCUGUGUUCUGUGAGUGCCUGCUCUAUGCCUAAACUUGCCAAGAGAGAAGAACCAGAGCUGAUCCCUGGCCCUGCCUGACAGCGAUCUGGGCAGCUUACAGGGGGGCAUCUGUGAGGUCCAGUGCCAAGCAGGACUGCAGUAGCUGUAGAAUAAUACAUUUCUUGCAGGGGUUUGGCCUCAAGCAGGGAUUUGGUUCCUCAGCCUGUGGGGCUGCUGCUGCUGUUUCUGCAUCUGAGGCUGUGGCCCAGAGCCUGUAAGACAGGGCAAGCAUUCAAGGAGGAUGACAGAUGUCAAGUGUAGGAAGAAAGACCAAGUGGCCCCCGCGGCUGCACAGGACCCGCAAGGACCAACUGAAACUGCUUUGAUCUCUAGUAGGAGAGGCCAGAGCGGGGGCCACAGCAGGACCCGAAAGUGGCCACCAGCAGUUGCCCCACGCUGACCAGGUGAGCCAGGGGGUCAGGCACACGGCCUGCACGGACCUAUGAGUGGUCAGGCUGCUCCCAUGCUGCAGCCUUCUGCGUCACAACAUGUGUUUCAGGCUGCCUUGGAACUAUUCAGAGAAGACAAUUCUGAGGAAUAACGGCCAGCUCAGCUAAGAUGACCUGACAUAAACCACCCAACAGGUAUCCAGGACGCAACCUAACAGGACCACAGAAAUGGGAGCAAUUUCAAGAGGACAGACAGACUCUGCCCCCUGCCCUGCCAACACCCGCAGCCACGAUUGCCUUUCCUCCUCCUCCCCAUUCUCCUUUUCCGUCUCGCCGCAAGCCCAGAUUUCGUGCUGA
rnacentral:lncRNA from 10 species